CCGGAGCUUGCGUCCACCGGAAAAAGAAGAGUGGCGAACGGGUGAGUAACACGUGGGUAACCUGCCCAUCAGAAGGGGAUAACACUUGGAAACAGGUGCUAAUACCGUAUAACAAUCGAAACCGCAUGGUUUUGAUUUGAAAGGCGCUUUCGGGUGUCGCUGAUGGAUGGACCCGCGGUGCAUUAGCUAGUUGGUGAGGUAACGGCUCACCAAGGCCACGAUGCAUAGCCGACCUGAGAGGGUGAUCGGCCACAUUGGGACUGAGACACGGCCCAAACUCCUACGGGAGGCAGCAGUAGGGAAUCUUCGGCAAUGGACGAAAGUCUGACCGAGCAACGCCGCGUGAGUGAAGAAGGUUUUCGGAUCGUAAAACUCUGUUGUUAGAGAAGAACAAGGAUGAGAGUAACUGUUCAUCCCUUGACGGUAUCUAACCAGAAAGCCACGGCUAACUACGUGCCAGCAGCCGCGGUAAUACGUAGAGUGGCAAGCGUUGUCCGGAUUUAUUGGGCGUAAAGCGAGCGCAGGCGGUUUCUUAAGUCUGAUGUGAAAGCCCCCGGCUCAACCGGGGAGGGNCAUUGGAAACUGGGAGACUUGAGUGCAG
rnacentral:rRNA from 1 species